GGGCAUUAGCCCACAGUCAGCACUCAGCCAGAAUGUCUGCAUAGAGAACAAAGCGGAUUGCCUCGACAAUGGCUGUAUUCUGGGCACGUUGCUAAUGCAGGUAAACACGGCAGGGCCGGGCCUCACUUCUCUGGGGCAAGAAACACCCAAGGACUGGAAGCCACGAGGGCCUCUGAUUGCGUCGUCCACCCGUGCCCUCUUCUGGACGGUUCCCUUCACAAAGAGGAAGCCCAUGAAUGGCCUUUGGUGACCUGAGAAGUGUCAGCCUGCCUUCUUCACGGAGCUCGAGAAUUAGCACGUGCUGAAGGCCAGCAAGCCGAAUCAAAGAAAUUGUCCACUUGGAAGGCACAGGUGCAUUUUCCCAAGGAGGCGUGGUACAGAAUGGUUCCAUCCCUAUGGAGAGAGAAGGGUCAAGAAGAUGGAACAUGACAUCCAGAAGCAGGUGGCUAGAGGAGCUCUACAAGGCACCAUCCAGGAAAGGAACAAGGCAAAGAUUGAGAUGCUCAUAGAAGCCAGAAAAGAAAUCUGCCUGAAAUUCAUAUCAGGAGUUGGAGGGCACCCAACGGUGACAGGGACAACUGCACACAGGGGACCAGGAGGAAAUCAUCACUCUCCUGGCGGAUGGAUGUGGUGCAUCUUAACUUUUCCCCACUCGUGGUUAGUGAAGUGGAAUUGCGGUGUGAACCAAACAAGUAUCACUGGAGUCGAAUAGGCCACUGGGUGGAGAAGAUCAUAGUGAGCUACCAGGCUGUGUUAUUGGGCAGAUAACCUCUCCAAGCCCCCAUUCCUCCGAGUAUAAAGCAGAAGGAGCAGGGGCCCCUGGCUCCCAGCAACGCAGUGGUGUGGCAGUGAAGUUCAGGGAUACGUAUCUAAUCCUUAGCCUAGGCCCUGGCAUAUGGAAAGCACUUAGUAUGUAUUAGCUUAUAUAUAUAUAUAUAUGUUUCAUAGAAGAAAACUUGAUUCUCACCCCUUCACUGUGAGCUACCAAUACAAUGAUCUUGGAAACUCCAUCCUUCCCAUGAAUCCGAGUCCAGUUGACUCCAAGCGACACAAGCUACAUCCAUACUUAUUUGGCAUUACAGCUUGCUCACCUUCAGGCGACAGGUGGGGCUGCUUUAAGGACAUGCCCUUAAGAGGCCCGGAAGCCCCCCUUUCAGACCAAAAGGUUCUUGUAGGAACCACCUUAAAUCUGAACUCUUAAUUGAGGCUCUUACAGCCACUCCAUUGGAAAUUUCUUUUUUUUUUAAUAUUUUAUUUGUUCAUAAGAGACACACAGAGAGAGAAGCAGAGACAUAGACAGAGGGAGAAGCAGGGGGUCCCACAGGGAGCUUGAUGCGGGACUCAAUCCCAAGACCCCAGGAUCACAACCUGAGCAGAAGGCAGAUGCUUCAACCACUGAGCCACCCAGGUGUCCCUCCCUUGGACAUUUCUUAUUUGGAGAAUCUUUUGCUGUAACACACUGGAGAUGAAAAUAAUUUUCUUUUUCAACCCAGCACAUUCUGGGCCUUCUAGAUUUUCUCUGAAUUCUUUGCAAAAAAUAUAAAAUAAAAAUAAAACAGUUCCUUCUGUAAUUCCUCUC
rnacentral:lncRNA from 12 species